rnacentral:rRNA from 1 species
AUGAUGCUUAACCCGGCCAAAUGUGUGUUCACGGUCCCUGCAGGUAAAUUGCUUGAUUUUCUGGUGUCCGAGCGAGGCAUUGAAGGUAACCCAGAGAAAAUCAAGGUGGUGACCUCCCUUGCCAAGCCGGCCAACAUCAACAAUGUUCAACGUAUGGCAGGUCGUAUAGCUUCUUUGAGCCGGUUCAUAAGCCGCCUUGGUGAGACGGCAAUUCCUCUGUACCAGAUGCUAAAAAAGACUGGCAACUUCGUGUGGAGUAAUGAUGUGGAUAUAGCUUUUGAAGCCCUUAAGAAACAGCUGGCUGAGUCGCCCGUCUUGGAUGCCCCUAUCGACAUACAUUGCUGCCAAUAA